rnacentral:rRNA from 1 species
AGGACGAACGCUGGCGGCGUGCCUAACACAUGCAAGUCGAGCGAGGAGAUCCUCGGGAUGAUCCUAGCGGCGGACGGGUGAGUAACACGUGGGCAACCUGCCUCAUAGAGAGGAAUAGCCUUCCGAAAGGGAGAUUAAUACCUCAUAACAUUGCAGUUUCGCAUGGAACAGCAAUUAAAGGAGCAAUCCGCUAUGAGAUGGGCCCGCGGCGCAUUAGCUAGUUGGUGAGGUAACGGCUCACCAAGGCGACGAUGCGUAGCCGACCUGAGAGGGUGAUCGGCCACAUUGGGACUGAGACACGGCCCAGACUCCUACGGGAGGCAGCAGUGGGGAAUAUUGCACAAUGGGGGAAACCCUGAUGCAGCCAACGCCGCGUGAGUGAUGACGGCCUUCGGGUUGUAAAGCUCUGUCUUCAGGGACGAUAAUGACGGUACCUGAGGAGGAAGCCACGGCUAACUACGUGCCAGCAGCUGC